GAUGAACGCUGGCGGCGUGCCUAAUACAUGCAAGUCGAGCGAACGGACGAGAAGCUUGCUUCUCUGAUGUUAGCGGCGGACGGGUGAGUAACACGUGGAUAACCUACCUAUAAGACUGGGAUAACUUCGGGAAACCGUAGCUAAUACCGGAUAAUAUUUUGAACCGCAUGGUUCAAAAGUGAAAAACGGUCUUGCUGUCACUUAUAGAUGGAUCCGCGCUGCAUUAGCUAGUUGGUAAGGUAACGGCUUACCAAGGCAACGAUGCAUAGCCGACCUGAGAGGGUGAUCGGCCACACUGGAACUGAGACACGGUCCAGACUCCUACGGGAGGCAGCAGUGGGGAAUCUUCCGCAAUGGGCGAAAGCCUGACGGAGCAACGCCGCGUGAGUGAUGAAGGUCUUCGGAUCGUAAAACUCUGUUAUUAGGGAAGAACAUAUGUGUAAGUAACUGUGCACAUCUUGACGGUACCUAAUCAGAAAGCCACGGCUAACUACGUG
rnacentral:rRNA from 1 species